rnacentral:rRNA from 1 species
GACGAACCGUGCGAACGUUAUUCGGAAUCACUGGGCUUAAAGCGCGUGUAGGCGGGCCGGCACGUCGGUCGCUGAAAUCCCCCGGCUCAACCGGGGAAGGGGCACCGAUACGACCGGCCUGGAGGGGGGUAGGGGGCGCUGGAACUCACGGUGGAGCGGUGAAAUGCGUUGAGAUCGUGAGGAACGCCCGCGGUGAAAGCGAGCGCCUGGACCCUUUCUGACGCUGAGACGCGAAAGCCAGGGGAGCGAACGGG